UUAUCUUUCCAACUCUCUCAGUUUAAGAUUCAUCAUUCCUUCUUGUUUACAAUUUGAUAACAUUUUUCCUCAAUGAAUAUUGCAUCAGUCUCUUCUUGCAAAAAAGUUUAGUCUCUUAAUUAUUAGUUUCUAAGAGAUCUAGCUAUAUAUGGUUACUUUCAUAUAUUUUCCUGUCGAUAAAAGAUAAGGUGGUGAUUGUUAUGGAUCCAACAAGACAGGUAAGUCUAGCCUUUCCAAAAAUCUAGCUGAUUCAUUUUCAAUAUAAGUUGUGAAUAAUUGACAAGUACGGACUUCAAUGCAGGUGUCCGAUACAAAUGCAGAUCUAGAGGUCAGAUUCUUAAUAAUCUAAAUUUAAAGAUUUGGGAUACGGAUUCAGGUGCGGAGUCUGGUGAGGGUGUUCUAGUACGGAUGCAGGUACUGGUGGUGAUUGUUAUGGAUCCAACUGGACAUGCAAGUCUAGCCUUUCCAUAGAUCUAGCCGAUUCAUUUUCUAUAAAAGUCUUGAAUAGUUGACAAACACAAGCUAAGUUGCUCAGACUCUGGUGCGGGUGUCGAAUGCAAAUGCAGGUUUAGAGGUCGGAUCCUUAAUGACUUUUAUUUAAAGAUUUGGGUGUAUGGAUCCAGGUACGAACUCUGGUGCGGGUGUCCAAGUAUGGAUACAGGUAUGGGUGGUGAUUGUUAUGGAUCCACCUAGACAAGUAAGUCUAGCCUUUCCAUAGAUCUAGUCGAUUCAUUUUCAGUAGAGGUUGUGAGUAAUUGACAAAUACAAACUAAGUUGCUCGGACUCCGGUGUGGGUGUCCGAUACAGGUACGGAUCUAGAGAUCGGAUCCUUAAUGAUCUAAAGUUGAGGUACCUUCUGAUCUUUCUCGGUUAAGCCUAUGGUCUCAGUUAUUAGAUCCGCAAUUUAUAAUUAGUGUUACUUUUUCAUGUUAAUUUUUUGUAUACAUGUUCCUUUUUUAAAGUAUAACUAGUUUUUUUAAUACGCGCGUUGCGUGUGUAUCCCAUAUCUAUGAAUAAGUUUUUUAAAAUCGCAUAAAUAUUAUGUGUAUUAAAAUUGUGUUAGAGCGGCAACUUGAAGUAUUUUAUUGUUUGAAGGCCAAAUGUGGAGUUGUGCAUUCACUUAGCAAAAGCAAAAUAUUUUUACUUAUGCACUUUAAUACAAUAACCGAAGACAAAGAAAAAUGGAAACAAAAUUGACGUUACCAAAUUUAGGUAUUGAACCAAAUUGUCGACCUCAUAGGCGGACCCACCCCUCUAGUUGGGGUGCACAUGUACCCGUUCACUUUUUAAAAAAUCAUGUAUAUAUAUGUAUAUAUAUCUUGAGAAACUGACAGAAAUCAGAAUAUAAUUAACCGUGAACCCAUGAAAAGAAUUGGAGUGUCAUUGUGCUACUGGUACAAGCUAGAGGAUCCACCUUGGUGCACCCAAAGUCUUCAAAUCCUGGAUUUGCCUCUUGACUCGAACUUACAUUCCAAAUUUCUCAAUAUAAUCUUUAGAAACUCGGAGCUUAAGAAAGAAUCCUUGAAAUGUAGAACUUGUAAAUCUUACUAUGUUAGAGCUCUUCUUCGGCAUUGUCAUUAUCCACAAUAAAGUUUUUGUAGCGAUGAUUAUUUAGAGCCAUAUGCUAAUGGAGUACUUUUCAUCUUCCUUGCAUGCACAUAUGAAGGGUCCAUAAUCCACUCUUUUCCUCUAACUCCUCAACGUAAUCCUUUUUUUUUUGCCUAUAAAUCUGAGAACUUUCUCUAUCAUCAUUCUUUUUAAUUUCCUCUUUUCAUCUCCUUCACUAUUAACCACAAAAUCAGAGACAUCUGUCUUCAAAACAGGGGAUCCACUCGAACUAUGAUUUCCAGGUCUAUGACCUGCCUCGGGUGUAGUACCCAUAUCGAUGGAAUCGUGAUGUAAUUCCGGUGAGGACUUGAAAACCCGGGUCUUGAUCAGCUGAUUCCCAGAUUGACCGAAUCCAUUCAUGUUUGGGUCUAUUUGACCUGAUUUUGAAACACUGAAAGAUCUUGGGUUGAGAAUGGUGGCAGCAUCAGUAUCCGCAUCCGCCAGUGGGAAGAUGUCAUCCAUGGUUAAGUUGAUAUCGAGGUCAAGGUCGAGUUCGAUGAAGGAUGUGAGUUCGCCAUCAUACCAGUGAAACUUUCUGGCAAUGUAUUCAAAUGUUAUAUUUUAUUACAACAGAGAAGAAAGGGCUUUUGUAUUAGACUUAAGUAAGUAGAGUCAAAUUCAAUUACUUUCCAAAGAUGCUCUCAGGGGUUGUUUGGUUUCAUGAGAUUAAAUUUGAGAUUAUUGUUAAUCUUAAGAUGAAUCUAUACCUCAAACUUGUUGUUAUUAGUACCAAAAUUAAGAUGAAUCCGGAUACCUUUUGGCUGAACCAAACAACUCAUUAUAGUCAAAUGAUAAACCCCACUAUAUAUAAGAGACCUAAACCCCAGUUAGCCCCAACACAAAGCCCUCUCUUCUCUGUUGUAGUAAAAUUUGAAUACAUCGCCUGAAAAUUUCACUGGUAAGAUGAUGAAUUCACAUCCUCCAUCGUUGAAUGACCUCGACCUUGACCUCGACAUCGACUUAACCAUGGAUGACAUCUUCCCACCUUCAGAUGUUGAUGCUGCCGCCAUUCUCAACCCAAAAUCUCUCAGUGUUUCAAAACCCAGUCGGAUUGACCCAAGCCCAAAUGGAUUCGGUCAAUCCGGGAGUCAGCUGAUUGAGACCCGGGUUUUCAAGUCCUAGAUGAAAUAAGCACAUGGUGGUUAUUAGCUGAUAAACUGAGAUUGUUUUUGAUAAAUUCACGGCUAGAGAUUAAAGCAAGCCAAGAUUUCGAUACAGACUUGAUUUUCAAGAGGGAUUUCAUGGGAACCCUCAAAAGGAUUUCAGUGAUGAGUUCAGGUGGCAGGAUUUCAGUCAAGUUCGAAUCUUUCAUUGGAUUUGAUGGAAAUUGAGCUCUUUUUCUGCGAUUGGAGGCUUUAGAAGCCAUUUUUGUUGCAGAAAUUUUGAGUUGUGAAUACCUAAUUAUACUGAUAUUAUUUUAAUUAAGGGAGGUUUUUGGUAAGAAUGAUGUUUUUGGUAGAGUUAUAAUUAGUAAAACAUUUGGGAUUGUUUGUUCAUGUACUUUAUUUAUCGUCAUUGUAAAGUAUAGCCAAACAAGAAAUUGUUUACGAAUAAAUUUAAAAGGACAUCCUUCAUUUUCAGGCGGAGAAAGUUGAAUUCAUGAGACGAACACAUAACUGCCAGCAAAUUGUGCCGUUGUAUUUUUUUGAAUAUAGUUGUUAAACGCGCGAUAAAUCAUUUGAGUUGAGAAAAUUUAUCUAUAAACAUCUCGUUUAAUUCAUUUACCUAUUCAUUUUGAUUUGCUAAGAUUGCCUUUUCCCUUAUAAGCGUUGCUAAAUUUGGAUUUUUGUAGUGAUAGAAAUAUUUUUGAUAUUAAGCUUUCCUUGAUAUUUGUAAAUAAUUUCCUGUUUGGCUAUACUUUACAAUGACGAUAAAUAAAGUACAUGAACAAACAAUCUCAAAUGUUUUACUAAUUAUAACUCUACCAAAAACAUCCUUCUUACCAAAACCUCCCUUAAUUAAAAUAAUAUCAGUAUAAUUAGGUAUUCACAAUUCAAAAUUUCUGCAACAAAAAUGGCUUCUAAAGCCUCCAAUUGCAGAAAAAGAGCUCAAUUUCCAUCAAAUCUAAUGAAAGAUUCGAACUUGACUGAAAUCCUGCCACCUGAACUCAUCACUGAAAUCCUUUUGAGGGUUCCCGUGAAAUUCCUUUUGAAAUUUAGGUAUGUAUCGAAAUCUUGGCUUGCUUUAAUCUCUAGCCGUGAAUUUAUCAAAAACAAUCUCACUUUAUCAGCUAAUAACCACCACGUGCUUAUGUUGGAAUAUAUGCGUCCACUAUUAGUCAACGGACCAGGUCCCUUGACUCAGCAAGAACAGUAACUGAAGUAAAAUGAGAGAAAAUAAAUGGCACAAUGCAAAUAGGGCACAUUGAUUUUACGUGGAAACCUCCUUGCUCAAGGGAGUAAAACCACGACCUGUCGCACAAGAUUUUCAACUUUUUUCACUAAUCUUCUCAAGCAAAAGUGAAAUACAGAUUACAACCACCAAGAGAUUAAAUACUUAAUCUCAACACUAAGUAAUACGCCUAUUACUUACUAAGCCUAAGCAUAUACCAAACUGCCCACUAAGUCAUCCCACCCUAGAUAACUUAAGACUUUAACUAAACAGAUACAACACUGCCCACUAAAUCAGCUAGCUCCUAGAUGACUUAGAAUUUGACUAAGCAGAUACAACACUACCCACUAAAUCAGUUAACCUUAACCGACUUAGACUUUUCGAUGAACAGAACAAAGAUCUAAUUCCUUUAUAACACAUGAAUAGAUUUACAAUGUAAGCACAUAAGAAACAAAGCUCAAAAUACAACAAAGACUCUUUAGCACUCUAUCGGGUCCCUUUGUUGAGUUGAGCAAUGUUCUUCCUUGAAGAUGACCUUCUUUUCAAGCUUAUGAAUUUUCAGAGAAAAUCCAAGUUUUUGUUUGCCAAAUAUUGGCUUUGUGUUUGGAGAAGAGACUAUUAUCAAGAUGGACACAAACCCUUGGGACAAGGCCAUUGGCUGAGAGCAUGUUGUUCUCAAAGGCUGUGCACCAACUACAUAAGAGUUGGCAGCCUUUUGAUAGCUGUCUUUUCAUCCUUUUCUCGUACGCUGACUUUUCGGGACCAAGUCCCUUGCUGCGUUCUUUGAUGCUUGAGUUCUUGAAAAGACUUGAUAGCUCUCUCUCUCUCUCUUCUUGAAUGAAUGUUGUUGUUUGUUUAUUGUUGUAUAUAUCAGUUACCAAUAAGGGUUUUGACCAUUUAAACAAACAACUUCGUCCGCCCUUCCUAUUGGUGAAGUACGCUGCACAUCUCACCAACCAACCUGACAAGACAGCUGUAAAGAUAGCUUUACAGUUGUGCACCACUUUGAAUCUGGAUGGAAUUACUUUGCCAAGGACCGGGUCCCUGCAUUUGUGAGGAUCAUCAAAACACUAGAAUAUAACAUUUCCCCUUUUUUGAUGAAGACACACAAAUAUUCCUCAUGCUGAGUUUAUUCAUUCAUUUCUCCUUUCAUCAGUCCGAAUACGAGAAAACCCUUUCAUGGAUCUGGUCCCUUGUUAGAUCCCUAAAUUUGUUAAAUCAUCAAAACUUAACAUCAGCUCCAAUGUAACAUUUCCCCCUUUUUGACGAUAACAAACUUAUUCACCUUCUUCCCCCUUUCACCAGUUCCCCCUAUUAGCAUGCCUCUUCAGGUAACUGGAUUGGUCCCCUUUUUUGCAUCAUUUUCCGAAGUUUUGUCAAAUCAUCAAAACUUCACAUCAACAACAAAAUAGCAUUUCCCCCCUUUUUGAUGAUCACAAACUUUUUCAACUUCUUCCCCCUAUCGACAUGGCCAUGUCCUCUUCAAGUAGCACUUCUUCCCCCUAUUGGCAUGACCAUGUCAUCAUUGAUCUCAUACCAUUAUUGAUCAUUGAUUUCAUACCCAAAAUAUUUUUCCCCCUUUUGACAUCAUAAAAAAGGGUUAAAACAGUAAAUCAAGUUGACAGAAAUGUAGUUCAAGCAAAUUCAUGGCCACUUAGGCAACACCGGGCAUGAAUAAAAAUGCAUAAAGUAAUGAGACAAGUCAGUAGAAACAAGGCAUUUUUCGUUCAUAAAUAAAAGAUCAACAAUCAAAGUAUUGCAAAUAUUAUUACGAAUGAGAACCAAGACAAAUCCCACUGAGUUUCAACAGAAGAGGAGGAACGAGGACUGACAUGGUAAUUUAGGAAGAGUGAAGGGCUUAGGAACACAUGAAUUUAAAGUGUAAGAUUAGGAGAUCAUUUGCCUCCACAUGAUUUCUCAGAAGCCUCUCUUGAAGUUCAACAUUCUUCACUGCCCGAGCUUCAUGGUGAAUCUUCAGGGCUGCCAGUUCUUCUCAACCUGGUCCCUCUGAUUGUGAUUUUCAGAAGCUGAGCCUUCAAACACACUAUUUAAGUAUCCCUGUUAGCAACAACAACUGUCAUAGCUUCCAAAGCAAGCUUGAGUUUCUCAUCUUCUACCAACAGCUUAGACACAUUACUCUUGUUCUCUAUCUUCCCAUCAACAUAUUCACAUUCCAAGUCAGAAGGUGCCCAUCUCUCAUACCAUAUUUACCAUCCUUAGAAGAUAUAAUCUUGUGCAUGUAUUCCCACGUUAUGACAGAAGGUUGGUAAACUAAAACUUACUCAUGGCCUCCGAGAUGAAUAGGUCAAUAACAAAGGGACCAUUUCAUUAAUUUUUUUUCAUUUCUUUUCAUUUUGCUUGCUGAACCUGGUCCCUCUUCACACUCAAAAAUUUUCUUAUCAAAAAAUUCUCCAGUAGGAACAAAAGGUUUAAACAUUUGAAGUGAUUUUUUAGAGAGGAGAAAUGAGGGUUUUGAAAUUUUUUGAUUUUUGAAGAGGAUUUGAAUUUUUUAGGGAGAUGGAAAGAAAUAUGGAGUAAGGAGGUGAAAUGGUGUAUCAUGUGAAAUGAAGUGUCAUCUUGGUAUUCAAAUGAUGGCACAACGAUCAAAUACCUGAAUGACAGACAUGUGGCAAUUGCAAUGGUUCUCAUGCAUAAUUCAAAAUGCAAUGUUAAGAGUGCUAACCUUCGAGAACGGAUCGGGUCCCUCUCGGUAGUUUGAAUGUGAUUGCCUAGAUCUGUCCUGACCUCCCUUUUCCUUCAGCAAGUCUACCAUGUGUAUAUACCUAAAAGGUAUAAGAUUGUAUUUGCUAAAACAUACAUAACUGAAAAACAAGGAUACCUGCUCCCUUUGCAUAGUCAUGAGAUGGUUGAUUGCUUCAGGCAGGAUCCAUUCAGUCCUGUUUCACCAUCCCCAACUUCAAUUUGUUUAUCUUGACGAGGUCCCUCGUCAGAUAUUUUGUGAAGAUAUUAGCGAUUUGAUAAUUGAUCUUACAGAAAUACAUGCUGAUAUUUUCUUUCUCAACAUGAUCCCUUAGAAAGUGAUGUCUCACAUCAAUAUGCGUAGUCCUUUUAUAGUGGACUGAGUUCUUAGCCAUAGUGAGAGCACUCGUGAUAGCACACACGAGAGGGAUAAUCUGAGUAACCGCUCUAAGAACUUCAAGCUGUUGUUUGAUCCACAAGAAUUGAGCACACCAGCCUGCAUCUGCUACAUACCUUGCCUCAAUUGUUGAAAUAGCAACAAAAUCUUGCCUUUAAUUCCCCAUGAAUGAGAUAUGAUCCCAGAAAAUGAGCCAUUCCUGUUCUUUCUAUUAGCUUGCUACCCAACAUAAUCAACAUCACCAUAUUACUCCAAUCAACACACAAUCUCCUGAUGGAUAGAGUAGAACAAGGUCCCUAUCUUCAUCAAGUGUCUUAGGAUUCUCUUAGCAGCCUUCGAAUGUGAUUCCGUUGGACAAGCUUGGAAUUUUGCACAAAUCUUAUCACUUGUAUCAUUUACAUCUGGACCGGAUCCAUCAACACCCAGCUUCGAGUUGGUACCCAUGGGAGUAUCAAUUGUCUUGG
rnacentral:lncRNA from 1 species